rnacentral:rRNA from 1 species
AAGACCUUGCGCUUUUGGAGCGGCCGAUGUCUGAUUAGCUUGUUGGUGAGGUAAAAGCUUACCAAGGCUUCGAUCAGUAGCUGGUCUGAGAGGACGGCCAGCCACACUGGGACUGAGACACGGCCCAGACUCCUACGGGAGGCAGCAGUGGGGAAUUUUGGACAAUGGGGGCAACCCUGAUCCAGCCAUGCCGCGCGAGUGAAGAAGGCCUUCGGGUUGUAAAGCUCUUUCAGCCGGAACGAAACGGUUACGGUUAAUACCCGUGACUACUGACGGUACCGGAAGAAGAAGCACCGGCUAACUACGUGCCAGCAGCCGCGGUAAUACGUAGGGUGCAAGCGUUAAUCGGAAUUACUGGGCGUAAAGCGUGCGCAGGUGGUUUUGUAAGUCAGAUGUGAAAUCCCCGGGCUUAACCUGGGAACU